rnacentral:rRNA from 1 species
CACGGGGGGAGCAAGCGUUGUUCGGAUUCAUUGGGCGUAAAGGGCUCGUAGGUGGCUUUGUAAGUCGGAGGUGAAAUCCCACGGCUCAACCGUGGACACGCCUUCGAAACUGUGAAGCUUGAGGCUGGGAGAGGAGAUCGGAAUUCCAGGUGUAGCGGUGAAAUGCGUAGAUAUCUGGAGGAACACCGGUGGCGAAGGCGGCAUCCUGGACCGGUAUUGACGCUGAGGCGCGAAAGCCAGGGGAGCAAACGGG